rnacentral:rRNA from 1 species
CUGAGACACGGUCCAAACUCCUACGGAGGGCAGCAGUGAGGAAUAUUGGUCAAUGGGCGCUAGCCUGAACCAGCCAAGUAGCGUGAAGGAUGACUGCCCUAUGGGUUGUAAACUUCUUUUAUAUGGGAAUAAAGUGCAGUAUGUAUACUGCUUUGCAUGUACCUUAUGAAUAAGGAUCGGCUAACUCCGUGCCAGCAGCCGCGGUAAUACGGAGGAUCCGAGCGUUAUCCGGAUUUAUUGGGUUUAAAGGGAGCGUAGGCGGGUUGUUAAGUCAGUUGUGAAAGUUUGCGGCUCAACCGUAAAAUUGCAGUUGAUACUGGCAUCCUUGAGUACAGUAGAGGUAGGCGGAAUUCGUGGUGUAGCGGUGAAAUGCUUAGAUAUCACGAAGAACUCCGAUUGCGAAGGCAGCCUGCUGGACUGUAACUGACGCUGAUGCUCGAAAGUGUGGGUAUCAAACAGGAUUAGAUACCCUGGUAGUCCACACAGUAAACGAUGAAUACUCGCUGUUUGCGAUAUACAGUAA